CCAAUAGCGUAUAUUAAAGUUGUUGCAGUUAAAAAGCUCGUAGUUGAAUUUUGGGUCUGGCCGGGCGGUCCGCCCUCUGGGUGAGCACUGUUCCGACGUCGGGCCUAUCCUUCUGGUGAGUCGGCAUGUCCUUUAUUGGGUGUGUCGGGGAACCAGGACCAUUACCUUGAAAAAAUUAGAGUGUUCAAAGCAGGCGUAUGCUCGAAUACAUUAGCAUGGAAUAAUGAAAUAGGACGCGUGGUGCUAUUUUGUUGGUUUCUAGAACCGCCGUAAUGAUUAAUAGGGAUAGUUGGGGGCAUUAGUAUUCAAUUGUCAGAGGUGAAAUUCUUGGAUUUAUUGAAGACUAACUUCUGCGAAAGCAUUUGCCAAGGAUGUUUUCAUUAAUCAAGAACGAAAGUUAGGGGAUCGAAGACGAUCAGAUACCGUCGUAGUCUUAACCAUAAACUAUGCCGACUAGGAAUCGGGCGAUGUUAUUCUCAUGACUCGCCCGGCGCCUUAUG
rnacentral:rRNA from 1 species